rnacentral:rRNA from 1 species
GCCCCAGACUCCUACGGGAGGCAGCAGUGAGGAAUAUUGGUCAAUGGCCGAAGGGCUGAACCAGCCAAGCCGCGUGAAGGAAUAAGGCCCUACGGGUCGUAAACUUCUUUAGUCAGGGAACAAAGGGUGCCACGUGUGGCGCUGUGAGUGUACCUGAAGAAUAAGCAUCGGCUAACUCCGUGCCAGCAGCCGCGGUAAUACGUAGGUGGCGAGCGUUAUCCGGAAUGAUUGGGCGUAAAGGGUGCGUAGGCGGCCUGCUAAGUCUGGAGUGAAAGGUACCGGCUCAACCGGUACAGGCUCUGGAAACUGGCGGGCUAGAGAGCAGGAGAGGGCGGUGGAACUCCAUGUGUAGCGGUAAAAUGCGUAGAUAUAUGGAAGAACACCAGUGGCGAAGGCGGCCGCCUGGCCUGUUACUGACGCUGAGGCACGAAAGCGUGGGGAGCAAAUAGGAUUAGAUACCCUUGUAA